rnacentral:rRNA from 1 species
GUAGGGUGCGAGCGUUAAUCGGAAUUACUAGGCGUAAAGCGUGCGCAGGCGGUUUUGUAAGACAGAUGUGAAAUCCCCGGGCUCAACCUGGGACCUGCAUUUGUGACUGCAAGGCUAGAGUACGGUAGAGGGGGAUGGAAUUCCGCGUGUAGCAGUGAAAUGCGUAGAUAUGCGGAGGAACACCGAUGGCGAAGGCAAUCCCCUGGACCUGUACUGACGCUCAUGCACGAAAGCGUGGGGAGCAAACAGGAUUAGAUACCCUGGUAGUCCACGCCCUAAACGAUGUCAACUGGUUGUUGGGUCUUUACUGACUCAGUAACGAAGCUAACGCGUGAAGUUGACCGCCUGGGGAGUACGGCCGCAAGGUUG